GACGGAGGGGGCAAGCGUUGUUCGGAAUUAUUGGGCGUAAAGGGCUCGUAGGCGGAUCCGCCAGUCUGACGUGAAAUCUCCACCGCUCACCGGGGAGGUGCCGUUGGAUACUACGGAUCUGGAGUUCGGCAGAGGACCAUGGAAUUUCGGGUGUAGCGGUGGAAUGCGUAGAUAUCCGGAGGAACACCAGCGGCGAAGGCGGCUUUCUGGUCCGAUUCUGACGCUGAGGCGCGAAAGCGUGGGGAGCGAUCCGG
rnacentral:rRNA from 1 species